AUUGAACGCUGGCGGCAGGCUUAACACAUGCAAGUCGAGCGAGCGGCGGACGGGUGAGUAAUGUCUGGGAAACUGCCUGGUGGCGGGGGAUAACUACUGGAAACGGUAGCUAAUACCGCAUACCAUCAGAUCUGCCCAGAUGGGAUUAGCUAGUAGGUGGGGUAAUGGCUCACCUAGGCGACGAUCCCUAGCUGGUCUGAGAGGAUGACCAGCCACACGGGAACUGAGACACGGGCCAGAAUCCUACGGGAGGCAGCAGUGGGGAAUAUUGGACAAUGGGCGCAAGCCUGAUGCAGCCAUGCCGCGUGUGUGAAGAAGGCCUUCGGGUUGUAAAGUACUUUUAGCGGGGAGGCGGUACUCGCAGAAGAAGCACCGGCUAACUCCGUGCCAGCAGCCGCGGUAAUUC
rnacentral:rRNA from 1 species